ACGCAGUAGCAAUACUGAGUGGCAGACGGGUGAGUAACAUGUGGGAAUCUGCCUUGUGGUUCAGGACAACAUUGGGAAACCGAUGCUAAUACUGGAUAAGCCCUUACGGGGAAAGUUUUAAUGCCAUAAGAUGAGCCCGCAUUUGAUUAGUUAGUUGGUGAGGUAAUGGCUCACCAAGACAAUGAUCAAUAGCUGAUCUGAGAGGAUGAUCAGCCACACUGGGACUGAGACACGGCCCAGACUCCUACGGGAGGCAGCAGUGGGGAAUCUUGCACAAUGGAGGAAACUCUGAUGCAGCGAUGCCGCGUGAGUGAAGAAGGCCUUUGGGUUGUAAAGCUCUUUUGUAGGGGAAGAUAAAGACUGUACCCUAAGAAUAAGGUCCGGCUAACUUCGUGCCAGCAGCCGCGGUAAUACGAAGGGACCUAGCGUAGUUCGGAAUUACUGGGCGUAAAGCGCGCGUAGGCCGUCGAGUUAGUUAAUUGUGAAAUCCCAAAGCUUAACUUUGGAACUGCAAUUAAAACUGCUCGACUAGAGUUUGAUAGAGGAAAGCGGAAUACAUAGUGUAGAGGUGAAAUUCGUAGAUAUUAUGUAGAACACCAGUUGCGAAGGCGGCUUUCUGGAUCAACACUGACGCUGAGGCGCGAAAGUAUGGGUAGCAAAGAGGAUUAGAUACCCUCGUAGUCCAUACCAUAAACGAUGAUUGCUAGAUGUUGGAAAUUUAUUUUCAGUAUCGCAGCUAACGCAUUAAGCAAUCCGCCUGGGGAGUACGACCGCAAGGUUAAAACUCAAAUGAAUUGACGGGGACCCGCACAAGCGGNGGAGCAUGUGGUUUAAUUCGAAGAUACGCGCAGAACCUUACCAACCCUUGACAUGUCUGUCGCGAGUUUAGNAAACUAGACUUUUCGGUUCNG
rnacentral:rRNA from 1 species